rnacentral:rRNA from 1 species
GUGAGGAAUAUUGGGCAAUGGGCGAAAGCCUGACCCAGCCACGCCGCGUGAGUGAUGAAGGCCUUCGGGUUGUAAAGCUCUGUGGGGAGGGAAGAAAAAGCGCAGGAGUAACUGCCUGUGUGUUGACGGUACCUCCUUAGCAAGCACCGGCUAACUCUGUGCCAGCAGCCGCGGUAAUACAGAGGGUGCAAACGUUGCUCGGAAUUACUGGGCGUAAAGCGCGUGUAGGCUGACAUGCAAGUCGGGUGUGAAAUCCCAGGGCUCAACCUUGGAACUGCACUCGAAACUGCACGUCUUGAGUACUGGAGAGGGAAGCGGAAUUCCGGGUGUAGAGGUGAAAUUCGUAGAUAUCCGGAGGAACACCAGUGGCGAAGGCGGCUUCCUGGACAGUAACUGACGCUGAGACGCGAAAGCGUGGGGAGCAAACAGGAUUAGAAACCAGGGUAGUCC